rnacentral:tRNA from 2 species
GCGCACAUAGUUCAGUGGCAGAACGCUGUCCUGAUAAGACAGAGGUCCUUGGUUCGAUUCCAAGUGUGCGCAUCA